rnacentral:rRNA from 1 species
AGAGUUUGAUCAUGGCUCAGAGUGAACGCUGGCGGCGUGCCUAAUACAUGCAAGUCGAACGAUGAAGUCCUAGCUUGCUAGGAUGGAUUAGUGGCGCACGGGUGAGUAAUAUAUAGUUAAUCUGCCCUACACAGAGGAACAACAGUUGGAAACGACUGCUAAUACCUCAUACUCCUAUUUGACAUAAGUUAAAUAGGGAAAGUCUUUUCGGUGUAGGAUGAGACUAUAUCGUAUCAGCUAGUUGGUAAGGUAAUGGCUUACCAAGGCUAUGACGCGUAACUGGUCUGAGAGGAUGAUCAGUCACAUUGGAACUGAGACACGGUCCAAACUCCUACGGGAGGCAGCAGUAAGGAAUAUUGCGCAAUGGGGGAAACCCUGACGCAGCAACGCCGCGUGGAGGAUGACACUUUUCGGAGCGUAAACUCCUUUUAUCAGGAAAGAAUAAUGACGGUACCUGAUGAAUAAGCACCGGCUAACUCCGUGCCAGCAGCCGCGGUAAUACGGGGGGUGCAAGCGUUACUCGGAAUCACUGGGCGUAAAGGACGCGUAGGCGGAUUAUCAAGUCUUUUGUGAAAUCUAGUGGCUUAACCACUAAACUGCUUAGGAAACUGAUAGUCUAGAGUAGGGGAGAGGUAGAUGGAAUUCUUGGUGUAGGGGUAAAAUCCGUAGAGAUCAAGAAGAAUACCCAUUGCGAAAGCGAUCUGCUGGAACCUAACUGACGCUGAGGCGUGAAAGCGUGGGUAGCAAACAGGAUUAGAUACCCCGGUAGUCC